GCGAAUUCGAAGGCGAGCACAUUCUCUUUAAUAGUCAAAGCUGUUUUACUAGUUUACAGUCGCAAGCUUCAUUCAACUUCCUGCUACGUUUCAUGUGCAAACUUUAUACUAAUGAAUUUGUGAUGUUAUACCUAUACAAUGGUAUUGAGCAGUUAUGUAAACCAGUGAGAAGAUAACUUCAAACACAAUAUUUAUUAACAAGGCAUUAAACACAGAUACAACACCAGACAAUUCAAGUUUCCAUAGAAAAGAAACACCGAAUUCAAACUGCAACUCAGAAAAUUGAACAGAGAAUAUAACUAACUGAAACAGUAAACGCGAAAUCCACGACCUCAACAAAACGUAUCCCAGACCGGUGACCACGGACAGAAUCGGAAACCAGCAAUUAACGACGAGCUCAGAACAAAAACUCAGAUUCGAUCGAACCCUGACCAGAACCAACAAAUCACCUCGAACAGACCUCGAUGGAAAAUUUUAUAACUCGAACGGAUUUGAAAAUUAGAUCUUCAUGACUGAAAUUUCAAGCACAAUUACACGAGAAGGAUCAACCAAUUGCUGUGACUGAAACCGGAAAUGGACGGAGCUUGAGCGAACCAAAUCCGGACGAUGAACAGUGACAGACUCAAACAAAACCAAACGAGACCUCGAGCUUAUGGAAGCUCUUAGUCAGGCUCGAACAAAUGAAAACGCACACAAACUCCAUAAUGAAACAGAAAUCGAAACCGGAAGGGAGACGAUUGAAACUUAUAUUACUUCUGAUUUUCUCGCAUUUGAGGCAGAUAUGAAGCAAAUCGUUGCCGGACUUGGGUUCUGAUGGAAAGGGAUUGGGAUGCGUCGUGCGUCUGGUUUUCGACGGAGGUGAAUCUGUGGGGUUUGGUUGGCGGAAAUGGUCGUUUGGGACGAGGACAACGGCGACAUGAAGGUGGUUUCCGUCGUUUUCUCUGAAGAUCGAAGAAGAUGUUAGAAUUCCAA
rnacentral:lncRNA from 1 species